CCUACGGGGGGCAGCAGUGGGGAAUAUUGGGCAAUGGGCGCAAGCCUGACCCAGCAACGCCGCGUGAAGGAAGAAGGCUUUCGGGUUGUAAACUUCUUUUCUGAGGGACGAAGAAAGUUACGGUACAUCAGGAAUAAGCCACGGCUAACUACGUGCCAGCAGCCGCGGUAAUACGUAGGUGGCAAGCGUUAUCCGGAUUUAUGGGGUGAAAGGGGCGUGUAGGCGGGAAAGCAAGUCAUAUGUGAAACCUCAGGGCUCAACCCUGAGCCUGCAGUGGAAACUGUUUUUCAUGAGUGCUGGGGGGGAAAUCGGAAGUCCGGGGGUGGCGGUGAAAGGCG
rnacentral:rRNA from 1 species